rnacentral:rRNA from 1 species
CCUACGGGAGGCAGCAGUGGGGAAUAUUGCGCAAUGGGGGAAACCCUGACGCAGCAACGCCGCGUGAAGGAUGAAGGCCUUCGGGUUGUAAACUUCUUUGAUUGGGGAAGAAGAAAGUGACUGUACCCAAAAAACAAGCCACGGCUAACUACGUGCCAGCAGCCGCGGUAAUACGUAGGUGGCAAGCGUUGUCCGGAAUUACUGGGUGUAAAGGGCGUGUAGGCGGGGAAGCAAGUCAGAUGUGAAAUCCCGGGGCUCAACUCCGGAGUUGCAUCUGAAACUGUUUUUCUUGAGUGCUGGAGAGGAAAGCGGAAUUCCUAGUGUAGCGGUGAAAUGCGUAGAUAUUAGGAGGAACACCAGUGGCGAAGGCGGCUUUCUGGACAGUAACUGACGCUGAGGCGCGAAAGCGUGGGGAGCAAACAGGAUUAGAUACCCUGGUAGUCCACGCCGUAAACGAUGGAUACUAGGUGUAGGAGGUAUCGACCCCUUCUGUGCCGUAGUUAACGCAUUAAGUACCCCGCCUGGGGAGUACGAUCGCAAGGUUGAAACUCAAAUGAAUUGACGG